CUUACAUUGCAUUAUUAAAGCCCAAUUCCUCGCUGUAUUUCAACACAAAUAAACAGGAACAUUCAACUUGACUUCCUGUCGCAGUUUCCAAGAUCCUUGGGAGGUCGAGUUGAGUAACAGCUUUUCCUGAUCAUCAACUGCCUGCUACGGUCGCUAACCAGAGGCUUUCUCGUCAGCUGACAAGUUUGCGGGUGUCUGAUUAGUGUUGGUUGUUUGUGCUGUUCGGAGCAUUGAAGUAACUUUGGAUUCAACAGACAUCGAAGAUAAAUCCCUUCUCGACCACUUCUUUAUUCAGGACUUCGGAUAAUGGUAAAAAAGAUGGAACAAUAAGGUUUCAUUCAUUGAGGAAUGAACGGUACUCGGCAGUCAUUCUUAAGAAUUAAGUGGCGAAAUCGUCCACGUAUUCUCUUGAUCCUAAGUGGCGAGGAGAGAGUGAAUUACAACCCUGGUUAUCUAAAUGAAAAGCUCUAAAUCUGUGUAUAAGUUAAUAGCUGUAGGUGUAAGAAGGAUGAAUGUACCUAAAUAUAAAUAUUUAAUGAAUUGUAGAAAGUAAUUAAAUACUAUUAAAUUUCACUAUAGUUACGUUUAUGUAUCUUGGAUAGUUGUGAAACGCAAUUAAUAUUCAGUUCAUGAGUUGUAGAAAGUAAUUAAAUCCUAUUUGAUUUCAUAAUUCAGUUAAAUUUUUGUAUCUUGAAUACAGUUGUGAAACGCAUUAAUAUGGUUUUAAGUUUAAAUUUUAUACUUUUACAUUUUUGUAUCUUGAAUACAGUUGUGAAACGCAAUCUGGUUUUAAGUUUAAAUUUUAUACGUUUACAUUUUUGUAUCUUGAAUACAGUUGUGAAAUGCAAUUAGUCUGGUUUUAAGUACCGCUAAUCUGGAUGGUUUGUAAACUAUUAACCUUGGAACUGUAUAUAGAAUGUAUACUUGUGUAAGACUUUUGGGAGAAAUAAAAUUCUUACCCGAGAAAGAACUUUGUCUGAAUUGCUUCUAAUGGAGAUGAUAAUGAAAAGAGAAAAUCUCAUGAGUAGCGUAAGUUUUCAUAAGAUAUACUUAUUACCUAUCAUAGAAAGUGAAAUUAGUUUUAACCUAUGUCAAAGCGUAAAAUUGUUUAUAAAAAAAAAAAAAAAAACUGGGCAUUACUCAUGAGUUAGGUAUCUUGAAAUAUUGUUAAGGACUCAAAAGGUCAGGAAGCCACCACGCUAAUAUUGUUCGGGGAACAGCUGUGAAAUUUUGGUAAGAAGCGUGAAAUGUGGUAAAAAGCUUUCAAAUUGGUUAUCAGAGAACAGUGGAGCUCACGAUCCAAGAAUGAUCUUUAUGGGUCCCUCAAACCUAAGGAAGGUCGAAGGCACCAGCAGCUGUGCAGUUUAUGAAAAUC